rnacentral:rRNA from 1 species
AGUAACACGUGAGUGACCUGCCUUUUAGACUGGAACAACUUACCGAAAGGUGAGCUAAUGCCGGAUGAGUUAUAUAAGUGCAUGUCUAUAUAGGAAAAGUUGGGGAGACCUGACGCUGAAAGAUGGACUCGCGUCCCAUUAGCUAGUUGGUAGGGUAAUGGCCUACCAAGGCGACGAUGGGUAGCCGGCCUGAGAGGGUGGCCGGCCACACUGGGACUGAGACACGGCCCAGACUCCUACGGAAGGCAGCAG